UACGGGGGGGGUAAGCGUUGUUCGGAAUUACUGGGCGUAAAGGGCUCGUAGGUGGCCAACUAAGUCAGACGUGAAAUCCCUCGGCUUAACCGGGGAACUGCGUCUGAUACUGGAUGGCUAGAGAUUGGGAGAGGGAUGCGGAAUUCCAGGUGUAGCGGUGAAAUGCGUAGAUAUCUGGAGGAACACCGGUGGCGAAGGCGGCAUCCUGGACCAACACUGACGCUGAGGAGCGAAAGCCAGGGGAGCAAACGGG
rnacentral:rRNA from 1 species